rnacentral:rRNA from 1 species
GAUGAACGCUGGCGGCGUGCCUAAUACAUGCAAGUCGAGCGAACGGACGAGAAGCUUGCUUUUCUGAUGUUAGCGGCGGACGGGUGAGUAACACGUGGAUAACCUACCUAUAAGACUGGGAUAACUUCGGGAAACCGGAGCUAAUACCGGAUAAUAUUUUGAACCGCAUGGUUCAAAAGUGAAAGACGGUCUUGCUGUCACUUAUAGAUGGAUCCGCGCUGCAUUAGCUAGUUGGUAAGGUAACGGCUUACCAAGGCAACGAUGCAUAGCCGACCUGAGAGGGUGAUCAGCCACACUGGAACUGAGACACGGUCCAGACUCCUACGGGAGGCAGCAGUAGGGAAUCUUCCGCAAUGGGCGAAAGCCUGACGGAGCAACGCCGCGUGAGUGAUGAAGGUCUUCGGAUCGUAAAACUCUGUUAUUAGGGAAGAACAUAUGUGUAUGUAACUGUGCACAUCUUGACGGUACCUAAUCAGAAAGCCACGGCUAACUACGUG